AUCGUUAUGCCAAAUCUGACUGAUUCAGUACCUUCUGUCUACCAUCUGAAGUCCGAAAAUGAAGCAAGCAAUGUGGCCGCUUGCCUCAUUACUGAUUAUUCACCUAAUCCCAUCGAUGUGAAUUCAGAACCAGCCAAUGGCUCUGCUGUGGUCGUAAAAGACGGCAACAAUAAAGAAUCAGCCAGCCUUGGGGUUGUCAUUUGGGGCAAAAAUGAUGACCAGUUUCAUUGCUCUGCUACUUACAAAGGCAUCCCCUACAAAGCUGAAACACAAGGGGAUGAUACCUGUUCAAAAAAUACACCGUCCGGCACUCCAGCUUUUGAAACAGACGAAAGGUUGAAUCUUCUCUCUCUCACUGUAUUGGGACUAAGAAUAAUAUUUUUCAAGAGUGUUGCUCUCAACUUGAUACUCACCUACUGGGCAUGGUCAAGAUGAGGAAUGAAAGAAAAAUGGGGAAACAUAACUGGGAUGUUGUGGAAGAAUCAUCUAAGGAUUUCAAGAUUUGACUGGACAGAAUCAUGCUACAAGCUUUCCUGGUUGCCUUCUCAACUUUUUAAAGAAAAUGGCUUUACUUUUCAAAUGUCUCAUGGUACAGCUUUUAAAAACAUCUAGGCAGCUUAUCAACCCAAAUUCUUGCAUUGUUCUAAAUGUAUUAUACCGACUUCUGAAUAUUAUCUGUCAAAACAUUUAUAGUGUAAUAAAGAUGCAUAUCUGAAUGUC